ACCGCGGGGCCGUGCGGACGGCCAGCACUCGACUUUGCCUAAAAAAGGAAGCAGCAGGCUGAGGCUGAGGAGCUGGCGGCAGGAACAAGGGAGAGCUGUGUCCCCGCCGGCGCCCCCCACCCCCCCUGCCGGGGAUCUUGGCAGUGGAGGUGCUGGCUGCGCUCCACAGACCUCAGACCUCGGCUGGGACCAGAAAUGCCUGGUGCUUCCGCCUGGGCCCGGUGGGGGGACUUUGGGUCCCCAGAGUGCAAGCUGUACCACUUCGAGGGGCCUCGCCAGGCCCCCCAGCCCCCAGUACACAGGGGCUGCCGUGGAGAUGACGCUGAAGGCCGCAGCCGCUGGAGGACCUGGGGUCUGACCGGAAGCUGGCUGCAGACCCUGCGGAGGCCCAGCUGUUGUUUUCACGGCUCCGGGACCAGGCGGAUCCUCAGCCAAGAGCUUCCCAGGAGAGCCCUCAUCUUCAACCCCUAGUGGCGACCAGAGCCAGCCCGGGCAGGAGGGGAAGGAAGGCGGCCGCGGCCCCGGGGAAGCCAUCCUGGCAGCUUGGCCACUGGCCCGGCUCCUGUCUGACCAGGAAAGGCAUCAAAGCCGGACUCGGAUGGAGGCUGGAAAACCCCGAGACUUCUGCUGGACUCGACCCAGCCACACACCAGGCUGUGCUCAAGGCCACGGAAUGAGCCUUGACCCUGGCCCCAGACGGAGCCCAGACCUUGCUGGUCACAGGCUGAGCCCUGCUGGCAAUAUGAUGUACUAGAUCCCUUAAAAGGCCUUCCAGCAACAACCAACUUCUGGAUGAAUUACUAUGAGCGUACAUUUUUAAUAGACUGUUGUGUUUCCAAGAAAGUAAAUAUCUCCGAGUCUCCCCCAAAAUUAAACAGCAAAAAUAAAUAAG
rnacentral:lncRNA from 1 species